rnacentral:rRNA from 1 species
GUGUCAGCCGCCGCGGUAAAACGUAGGAGUCAAGCGUUAUCCGAAUUUACUGGGCGUAAAGCGCGUGUAGGCGGUUCGAUAAGUUGGAUGUGAAAGCUCCUGGCUCAACUGGGAGAGGUCGUUCAAUACUGUCGGACUAGAGGAUGGUAGAGGGAGGUGGAAUUCCCGGUGUAGUGGUGAAAUGCGUAGAUAUCGGGAGGAACACCAGUGGCGAAAGCGGCCUCCUGGACCAUUCCUGACGCUCAGACGCGAAAGCUAGGGGAGCAAACGGGAUUAGAUACCCCGGUAGUCC